UUUUAUUUUUGCUGUGGUUUUUGUUCUGUCUUUUAGUAGCCUUUUGUGAUGUCCAGAGUUGAUCUUGUCUGAAUAUUUUGUUGUCACCAUCGUUGAGAUUCAUAGACUGAUUGCUCAUAUCUGUGUUUGUCAUUGUAGUUUACUACGGAAGCCCUAAAAAGCAAUGUAUUGUUAUUAUUUUUACUAUCUCGUGGUCACGAGUUAUUUUCUGAAGGCCAUGGAUUGUGUUUUUUUUUUCUAUCUUGAUUUCCAUGGCAUUUUAGGGCUUCUGUAGUCUUAAUUUUCUUGUUAUCUCGAGAUCACGACAUCACAGAAGUUAUUUUGGUUGUUUUGAAGCGUUGCAAACAUGGCCGCCGAGUGAACAGACUUUCCUUGAAAAGGACUUCGGCUUGAAUCAGAGCUCUGGCGAGACUGUGCGCAGCGCGUUACAAUACUGAGUUCUGAUUGGUCAAUCGCUGUUAUAGUUUGUUAAUUUUAAAAUUUCGUUUAUAUGAUAAGAUUUACAUAAUGCAUAACACUGUUAAUCUAAAGGGGAUGGUGGCUUUACAGAGGGGAUGAUUUUUGUCAUUUUUUUCAAAAAGUGGGAUGCCAUCCCCCCGCUUCCCCCCUCAUAUCGAGCCCUGACGGAUGUGAGCGCCCUCUCGUGGCCAUUACAGAAACAGCGAGUAGGAGUACAGACCAUUGAGGAGCUAUGUGACGUCAAUAACAUCUGUUUUUAUGCUUUUAACAGAUGAAUCCCAAUGAAACACGUCUGGAACCUCUUAAAUUUAGGGUCUUCUCCGAACACAUCGUCUCCGACCUCUGCCUCUGCUAUGGCUUGGCGCAUGGCUGCUCCGGGUUUGGUGACGGUAUCGCUGCGGAGGUCCACAGUGCGAACAGCUGAUCCCGUAGCCGCCUGCGGGGACCCAUAGUACAGCCGCACCGGAUCCACGCAACAAACACUACGAGUGUGUCUGAAGAAACAGCUCCCUGUUGUGAGAGAAACCGUUGCAGUAAGAGGAGGGUUUACUGGAAGUCAGUUUGAAAGAGUUCCCUUCAUUCUUCUAUUUUUUUAUUUUUUUUUUUACCACGCUAAGAUUCUCCUGCUGAUUGCAUUGCAUAUUUCCCUGACCAAAACUAUGCACACACAGACUGUAUGUUAUUGUAAAUGCUGCAUAUUUACUCUAGUGGAGUGGGUUGGGAAAACGUUCUCCCAGGAAAACUAGAGCAAGUGUUUAGAUCAGCAGUUUUUUGUGUAUUUCAUACUUUUUAUAUACAUGUUCUGGGGUUUUCAUGGUCAUUUUCAGUUUAGUGCUGAUAAUCCCUGCUAUGUGCAUGCUGACAUUUAUGUAAAUAUGAAAAUGGUUUCCUUUUUGGAGUAGAUGCCUGGAUACUUCAUAGCAGUGUCUGUCAUGAACAAGAUUGAUUUGUGCUUUUAUAUUAAAUUAGUUAUUUGUUUUAAAAGUUUUUAGUUUACUUUGCAUUAAUUUAUUUCAGUUUACAAAAGUAUUUUUAAAUCAAUACAUUUUGUCAUGUGAUGAAUGCUCAGUGACUACUACAUUUAUUUAAUUUAUUAUUUUUUUUCACUUUGUCUUAUGAAAAUGUUAUUAAAUGAAUAGUUUUCGUCUUCAUUAUUUUUAGUCUACAAUAAUAACCCUCAUCAGAAAGCAAUUUGUAUUCAAAUUUUUUUUUUUUAAUGCAGCUAAUAUUGUUAGUUAAAUAUACAGCCUUACGGCCCUGACAUAAAGCUGUCAACAAGUACAUCGCUGAACCUAAAAAGGAGAUACAGCCUAGGGCUCAUCAUUUCCCGGUUUGAGUUUGAAGCAGUAGCUAAACAUAGAGCACAGUAUUUAGCAUGAUCAUCAGUACUAUGAUAUCACAGGCCCUGGAUCUGGAACUCUAUUUUAGUGGCAUUUACAGCAAAACAGACAAAAACAUGCUGGACGUGCUGGUCAAGUGGAACACCAAAACCAGAAGAUCUGGUUCAGAUUCCACUUGGAUUCAAAACAAUUGGCCCUUUUGUUUCCCGCUAUUGUGUCCUAAAGUGCUUUGUCCACGUAUGCACACAUUGUACAUAUUACUUACUGACCAUGAAACUUUUAUUUUGCAUGAUUUUUAUUAAAAAUAUAGAUUUAUGUCCUUAAGCUAAGAGGAUAUUUUGGUUAGUUUUCAUUCAGUCUCUGUAAAAUUGCCCCUGUUCCGA